GGGGAUGUAGCUCAGUUGGCUAGAGCACUACGCUGGCAGCGUAGGGGUCGUGGGUUCGAGCCCCAUCUUCUCCACCA
rnacentral:tRNA from 1 species